UACGGAGGGUGCGAGCGUUAAUCGGAAUUACUGGGCGUAAAGCGUGCGUAGGCGGUUUGAUAAGUCGGGUGUGAAAGCCCCGGGCUUAACCUGGGAAUUGCAUUCGAUACUGUCUGACUCGAGUCUGGGAGAGGGAAGCGGAAUUCCGGGUGUAGCGGUGAAAUGCGUAGAUAUCCGGAGGAACAUCAGUGGCGAAGGCGGCUUCCUGGCCUAAGACUGACGCUGAGGAGCGAAAGCCAGGGGAGCAAACGGG
rnacentral:rRNA from 1 species